GUCAGGUUCUAUCAGAGCCAUUAGAGGACACUCUGGAAAGAAUUGAUAAGGAAAUAAGGAGGUUUGAUAAUGAUUACUUGAGAUCAGAUAUUGACUACUUGGAAGUGUUAGAUGACCUUAAGACUAUCAUGCAAGGUGUGCAUGCUUGUCGAUGCCCAAACCUCAGCAUUGUUAGUUGGGUGCGACUAAGUUUCAAUGAUGUUGAUUUUGGAAUGGGAAAGCCUAUAUAUGUAAGGCCUGCAAAUCCACAUGAAGGCACGG
rnacentral:misc_RNA from 1 species